rnacentral:rRNA from 1 species
AACGAACGCUGGCGGCAGGCUUAACACAUGCAAGUCGAACGCCCCGCAAGGGGAGUGGCAGACGGGUGAGUAACGCGUGGGAAUCUACCGUACCCUACGGAACAACAGUUGGAAACGACUGCUAAUACCGUAUACGCCCUACGGGGGAAAGAUUUAUCGGGGUAUGAUGAGCCCGCGUUGGAUUAGCUAGUUGGUGGGGUAAAGGCCUACCAAGGCGACGAUCCAUAGCUGGUCUGAGAGGAUGAUCAGCCACAUUGGGACUGAGACACGGCCCAAACUCCUACGGGAGGCAGCAGUGGGGAAUAUUGGACAAUGGGCGCAAGCCUGAUCCAGCCAUGCCGCGUGAGUGUUGAAGGUCUUAGGAUUGUAAAGCUCUUUCACCGAUGAAGAUAAUGACGGUAGUCGGAGAAGAAGCCCCGGCUAACUUCGUGCCAGCAGCCGCAGUAA